AGUGAACGCUGGCGGUAGGCCUAACACAUGCAAGUCGAACGGCAGCACAGGAGAGCUUGCUCUCUGGGUGGCGAGUGGCGGACGGGUGAGGAAUACAUCGGAAUCUACCUUUUCGUGGGGGAUAACGUAGGGAAACUUACGCUAAUACCGCAUACGACCUACGGGUGAAAGUGGGGGACCGCAAGGCCUCACGCGAUUAGAUGAGCCGAUGUCCGAUUAGCUAGUUGGCGGGGUAAUGGCCCACCAAGGCGACGAUCGGUAGCUGGUCUGAGAGGAUGAUCAGCCACACUGGAAAUGGGACACGGUCCAGACUCCUACGGGAGGCAGCAGUGGGGAAUAUUGGACAAUGGGCGCAAGCCUGAUCCAGCCAUACCGCGUGGGUGAAGAAGGCCUUCGGGUUGUAAAGCCCUUUUGUUGGGAAAGAAAUCCUGUCGAUUAAUACUCGGUGGGGAUGACGGUACCCAAAGAAUAAGCACCGGCUAACUUCGUGCCAGCCGCCGCCGUAAGAC
rnacentral:rRNA from 1 species